rnacentral:rRNA from 1 species
UAUGUAGGCAGCAAGCGUUGUUCGGAGUUACUGGGCGUAAAGAGUAUGUAGGCGGUUGCGUAAGUUCGGUGUGAAAUCUCCCGGCUUAACUGGGAGGGUGCGCCGAAAACUGCGUGGCUAGAGUGCGGGAGAGGAGAGCGGAAUUCCUGGUGUAGCGGUGAAAUGCGUAGAUAUCAGGAGGAACACCGGCGGUGUAGACGGCUCUCUGGACCGUUACUGACGCUGAGAUACGAAAGCGUGGGUAGCAAACAGG